GAUGAAGAACGUAGCGAAAUGCGAUACUUGGUGUGAAUUGCAGAAUCCCGUGAACCAUCGAGUCUUUGAACGCAAGUUGCGCCCGAAGCCACUAGGCCGAGGGCACGCCUGCCUGGGCGUCACACGCCGUUGCCCCCCCAUCUACUCCUUCGGGAUUGCGGGGGGGCGGAUGAUGGCCUCUCGUGCGCCUAGCCGCGCGGUUGGCAUAAAUACCAAGUCCUCGGCGACGCACGCCACGACAAUCGGUGGUUGCGAAACCUCGGUUGCCCGUCGUGUGCGUUCGUCGCGCAUCGAGGGCUCGAAAAAAUGCUCGGCUCCGGCUGGGCUUUCAACGCGACCCCAGGUCAGGCGGGGUUACCCGCUGAAUUUAAGCAUAUCAAUAAGCGGAGGA
rnacentral:misc_RNA from 1 species